AACCUCUACAAUGCACGCAAGUGUGAUAGGGGAAUUCUCAGUGCUCGUGCAUUGCAUGGGCUUUUUUCAAGGGUAAAUACCUUGGAGAAUAAGUGGUGGGUAAGACUGGUGCCAGCCGCCGCGGUAACACCAGCGCCACGAGUGGGGAUCACGAUUAUUGGGCCUAAAGCGUCCGUAGCCGGUUCUAUAAAUCUUUUGUGAAAUCGUUGGGCUCAACUCAACGGAUUGCAGAAGACACUGUAGAACUCGAGACCGGGAGGGGUCGAAGGUAUUCUGUGGGGAGCGGUAAAAUGCUAUAAUCCACAGAGGACCACCGAUGGCGAAGGCAUUCGACCAGAACGGAUCUGACGGUCAGGGACGAAAGCCAGGGGAGCGAACCGGAUUAGAUACCCGAGUAGUCCUGGCCGUAAACGCUGUGAGUUAGGUGUUGCGUAAUCUACGGGAUUAUGCAGUGUCGAAAUGAAGAUGAUAAACUCACCGCCUGGGAAGUACGGUCGCAAGGCUGAAACUUUA
rnacentral:rRNA from 1 species